CUACCUCAUGCUUUGCUUCGUGAUGAUGAUGAAAUAUUUCAGGCAUUCAAGAAAUACAUGCAUCACCACCCCCAGGGACCUGCCACCCGUGCCUACAAGGUGUUUCUCACUUCUGGUCGUCACCCACCACGGAGUCGUGAACGCUCUUGUAUGUGACCGCUUGGCGUGUGUUACUUGACUUUGGAUUUUUCUCUAUCCCACUCCCAUCUUUUCUGCCUUCUUCACGCCCUUCCUGCCUAAAAGUCUCAGCUCAAGCCACAGCCUCUAGCAUCCAUCGCCGAGACCCAGGUCGUCCAAUUUGACAGCCUCUAAACUCCCAAGGCUGCUGUGCGUGAAAAACGGGGCUAGUUUUCACUAGUCCAGGUUGAGAUGUGCCGGAAGCAUCAAAGACACCCUGGAUUUCAAAGACGUAAAAUACGGAGAGAUUGUGAAACAAGCUCAUAAAUAACAUUCUACACUGAUUACAUGUUGAAAACGUGUUAAAUACAUUGGGUUAAAUAAAAUAUUUGUUAAAAUUAA